UUUGUCGUUUUAUCGUAUAAUCGCGGGAAUAUGGCCCGCAAGUUCCUACCAGGCUGCCGUAAAUAGCUUGACUACGAGAUAUG
rnacentral:ncRNA from 1 species